CAGUAGCCGCGGUAAUGCGGAGGGGGCUAGCGUUAUUCGGAAUUACUGGGCGUAAAGCGCACGUAGGCGGAUCAGAAAGUCAGAGGCGAAAUCCCAGGGCUCAACCUUGGAACUGCCUUUGAAACUCCUGAUCUUGAGGUCGAGAGAGGUGAGUGGAAUUCCGAGUGUAGAGGUGAAAUUCGUAGAUAUUCGGAGGAACACCAGUGGCGAAGGCGGCUCACUGGCUCGAUACUGACGCUGAGGUGCGAAAGCGUGGGGAGCAAACAGGAUUAGAUACCCCUGUAGUCCCUGUCUCUUAUAC
rnacentral:rRNA from 1 species